GGGGUUGUUUGGGUGUUGUGGGGGGAGGAGAGAGAGAGAGGCUCCUCCCCGUCCCCAAGCUAAAUUUUUGACUCCGUCGUUGAAAAGGUGUUCAUUAGGGAGAGAGAGAGAGAGAGCUGUGGUUUUGGGAAGAGAGGGGAAUAUAAGCCUUUGAGAGAGAGAGAGAGUGAGUGAAUUGAAGGCUUGGUAUGAGCAACUGUGGUUUUGGG
rnacentral:misc_RNA from 1 species